UACGGGGGGGGCAAGCGUUGUUCGGAAUUACUGGGCGUAAAGGGCGCGUAGGCGGCUUUUCAAGUCGGGCGUGAAAUCUUCGGGCUUAACCCGGAAGGGUCGUUCGAUACUGUUGAGCUAGAGUGUGGAAGAGGCAACUAGAAUUCCGUGUGUAGCGGUGAAAUGCGUAGAUAUACGGAGGAAUACCUGAGGCGAAGGCGGGUUGCUGGGCCAACACUGACGCUGAAGUGCGAAAGCCAGGGGAGCAAACGGG
rnacentral:rRNA from 1 species